rnacentral:lncRNA from 1 species
UUGUAGAAAAAUAUCAAAUCAUUAUGGUAUACAUCUAUCUUCUUGUAUCCCAUGCUUAACCCUUUCAUCAUUUUCUUUGAAGCAUAGAAGCUCCUAACAAGCUUCUCAUCCUUUGGUAGCAUCUUCUUUAUUAUUGCUACCAUCCUAUCAUAACAAUUGAUUGUCAUAUUAAAUUCGACUUUCAAAUUCAAUUACUCUAACACAACUGAUAAUACAGUGUGUGUUUCAUAUUUUGACCAUAAUGGUUCAUCA